rnacentral:tRNA from 3 species
GGGCGCGUAGCUCAGCGGGAGAGCACUCCCUUCACACGGGAGGGGUCGCUGGUUCAAUCCCAGCCGUGCCCACCA